GAUGAACGCUGGCGGCGUGCCUAAUACAUGCAAGUAGAACGCUGAAGGAGGAGCUUGCUCUUCUGGAUGAGUUGCGAACGGGUGAGUAACGCGUAGGUAACCUGCCUGGUAGCGGGGGAUAACUAUUGGAAACGAUAGCUAAUACCGCACGACAACAGUUAUUGCAUGAUAACUGUUUAAAAGGGGCAACUGCUCCACUACCAGAUGGACCUGCGUUGUAUUAGCUAGUUGGUGAGGUAACGGCUCACCAAGGCGACGAUACAUAGCCGACCUGAGAGGGUGAUCGGCCACACUGGGACUGAGACACGGCCCAGACUCCUACGGGAGGCAGCAGUAGGGAAUCUUCGGCAAUGGACGGAAGUCUGACCGGGCAACGCCGCGUGAGUGAAGAAGGUUUUCGGAUCGUAAAGCUCUGUUGUAAGAGAAGAACGAGUGUGAGAGUGGAAAGUUCACACUGUGACGGUAUCUUACCAGAAAGGGACGGCUAACUACGUG
rnacentral:rRNA from 1 species